GGUUGCGAUCAUACCAGCACUAAUGCACCGGAUCCCAUCAGAACUCCGCAGUUAAGCGUGCUUGGGCGAGAGUAGUACUAGGAUACUCCGCAGUUAAGCGUGCUUGGGCGAGAGUAGUACUAGGAUGGGUGACCCCCUGGGAAGUCCUCGUGUUGCAACCC
rnacentral:rRNA from 1 species